UUUUCCCCUAAAGGCAUUGCAUGUAUGGCUUCUGUGUCACAUGUGUGUCUGUUGGUUGCAAGGAGGAGAGUGUCUCUGUCUAUGCUUAGUGAUCUGACCUAUGCAAAUUUGAAAGGUUAGUAGUCUAAAAAU